rnacentral:rRNA from 1 species
GAUGAACGCUGGCGGCGUGCCUAAUACAUGCAAGUCGAGCGAACGGACGAGAAGCUUGCUUUUCUGAUGUUAGCGGCGGACGGGUGAGUAACACGUGGAUAGCCUACCUAUAAGACUGGGAUAACUUCGGGAAACCGGAGCUCAUACCGGAUAAUAUUUUGAACCGCAUGGUUCAAAAGUGAAAGACGGUCCUGCUGUCACUUAUAGAUGGAUCCGCUCUGCAUUAGCUAGUUGGUAAGGUAACGGCUUACCAGGGCAACGAUGCAUAGCCGACCUGAGAGGGUGAUCGGCCACACGGGAACUGAGAAACGGUCCAGACUCCGACGGUAGGCAGCAGUAGGGAAUCUUCCGCAAUGGGCGAAAGCCUGACGGAGCAACGCGGCGUGAGUGAUGAAGGUCUUCGGAUCGUAAAACUCUGUUAUUAGGGAAGAACAUAUGUGUAAGUAACUGUGCACAUCUUGACGGUACCUAAUCAGAAAGCCACGGCUAACUACGUG